UACGUAUGGUGCAAGCGUUAUCCGGAUUUACUGGGCGUAAAGGGAGCGCAGGCGGCGCGCCAAGUCUGAUGUGAAACCCUGGGGCUCAACCCCGGGCAUGCAUUGGAAACUGGCGGGCUGGAGUGCCGGAGAGGUAAGCGGAAUUCCUAGUGUAGCGGUGAAAUGCGUAGAUAUUAGGAGGAACACCAGUGGCGAAGGCGGCUUACUGGACGGCAACUGACGCUGAGGCUCGAAAGCGUGGGGAGCAAACAGG
rnacentral:rRNA from 1 species